AGUCCUUUCCCUCUUGCCCAAGUCUUACCAGCAACUCUGUGGCAGCAUCUCUACUGUACCUCAGUCAACUCUUCAAGCUGAAGCCUCCCUUGACAUUAUCCUUUGGAUGCCUACAGUAUCACUGCCUAUUCCAGGGCAUUGGCUUGCGAACUGUGACUCUUCUGCCUUGCUUCUCCUGGCUUCCUUGAAAAAAC